UUGAGCUGUCAGUCGAAAAAAAGGCGCGACACGAAGUGCAAAACAGAUUCAGUAAGGAAUAGAGUAAAUGGAAAUAAUUAUUUCAACCAGCCUUGUUUUACCAAAUCAGGAACAUGUUCUAAUGGAAAAGAAUAUGUUUUGUUGUGCACCCGAUGACCAGUUUCCGCAGAACCAAGGCAGCAGAAACCAACCAGUAACUGAGCAGAUGAAGAACUCGGUGGCUCGGUGCUCAACACGGCCCUAAAUGACCAGUUUUUCGCAUAAUCAUUACAACAGCAACCGAGGCAGCAAUCAACCAAUAACUCGGUGCUCAACACAUCCCUGAUUGCCAUUAAUAACCCGGCCAGCCAGUCAUCCCCAGCAGAAGCCACGUAUGAAUCAGUCUGAUCCGGAAAUGCAUAUCAUUUUACUACAUUGGUGUAAUAUAAAUUUUAAUUGUACGUUAUAAUGUAAAUCAAAAAUCGAAAAAUGAAUGAGAUAAUAAAAUGGGAGAAUGAACAAAAUAAUGUA